CCAGACUCCUACGGGAGGCAGCAGUGGGGAAUAUUGCACAAUGGGGGGAACCCUGAUGCAGCGACGCCGCGUGGGCGAGGAAGUAUUUCGGUAUGUAAAGCCCUAUCAGCAGGGAAGAACAAUGACGGUACCUGACUAAGAAGCACCGGCUAAAUACGUGCCAGCAGCCGCGGUAAUACGUAUGGUGCAAGCGUUAUCCGGAUUUACUGGGUGUAAAGGGAGCGCAGGCGGCACGGCAAGCCUGAUGUGAAAGCCCGCGGCCCAACCGCGGGACUGCAUUGGGAACUACCGGGCUGGAGUGCCGGAGAGGUAGGCGGAAUUCCUAGUGUAGCGGUGAAAUGCGUAGAUAUUAGGAGGAACACCAGUGGCGAAGGCGGCCUGCUGGACGACAACUGACGGUGAGGCGCGAAAGCGUGGGGAGCAAACAGGAUUAGAUACCCCGGUAA
rnacentral:rRNA from 1 species